GGAGGAAAAGAAAAUAACCAUGAUUGCCUUAGUAACGGCGAGUGAAGAGGCAAAAGCUCAAGUUUGGAAGCUCAAUGGUUUAACCAUUGCGCAUUGUAAACUGAAAACAGGAUCAAUCAGGUACACCGGGUGAUAAGUUCCUUGGAAUAGGACAUCAUGGAGGGUGAGAAUCCCGUCUUUGACCCGAGUCUUAGUAUCUUUUGUAUUGGCCUGUUCAAGAGUCAGGUUGUUUGGGAAUGCAGCCUAAAGCUGGAGGUAAAUCCCUCCUGAAGCUAAAUAAUGGCGAGAGACCGAUAGCGAACAAGUACCGUGAGGGAAAGAUGAAAAGAACUCUGAAGAGAGAGUUAAACAGUACGUGAAAUUGCUUAAAGGGAAGCAUAUAAAGCUAGGAUGCGAUUGUUUUCUUCAGGUUGAGCUUUGGCUUGACUGUUCAGAAGGAUAAUCCAAGACAACAAGAAUUGGAGGAGGAGAAUAAGCCAUUGGGGAAGGUAAUCCUUCGGGAUGUUUAUAGACCUGAUGGUUCGCGCUCUUCUUUCGAUUGAGGUACGCUUUUUUUUUUAAAGGUUGUUGUCUGAAUGGCUUUAUAUGGCCC
rnacentral:rRNA from 1 species